rnacentral:lncRNA from 1 species
GCCAAACUAGCAGAUUACAAUAAUAAUGGCUGUUUCCUUCAAUUAGAGUAAGUUUUGUUUUUUCUAAAAGCUUUACUUUGCCAUCAUUUUAAAUGCACGGCAUUAUUUUUUUAUGUAAGGUUAAUUUUCUGGUGUUUCAUGGAACAGCAGAUUGCUGUGGUAGAUUUAGUAGUUGAAAGAUGGCAUAAAAAUUGAAUCUUUUUGCAUUUACUACUCUCGUAAUAAUUCGAAAAGGGUUUUUUGAUCAUUCAGUAAGAAAUCGGGCAACUGUAGUUAUUGUGAAGAAACGCUAUAUAUUAGUCAUUUAUAGAUAUUAAAGUGUUUGGUUGUGUUUUCUUGAUGGGUUUUUAUGUAGCCAUAAGUGUGAAUUGAAUUCUUCAAUUGUAUCUCUGAUUCUAAGAGUUUGUUCGAUUUGAUAAAUAUCGUGAGCGAUAAAAAGUAGAGUGAGUAAUUAAUUGGUGAGCUGAAAUUUGGGGGUUGGUUUUAGAUAUUAAUAACUGACUUAAGUAAAGCUUUCUUGCUUUUGGUUGUUAGUUGAUGAAUGGAGUCAGAAUGAUCAAUGUUGAUUGAAACACCAAUUCAUUACUAAUUAAGGCAGGUUUAUCAUCAAGUCAAGAGGGGUAAAUAUUUGUUGAAGGGUUUUUAUCUUUUCUACCUUCCUCUUGUGGUUUGGUGGUGUGGUAAUCGAGUCAUAAAGAAUGAUAUUGGUAAUCUUGUAUGCUAGUGUGUAAUGUGUAGUAAUGGAGUUGAUUGGUUAAAACUUGCUAUAGAUGUUGGGAUGAAGUUGGAAAACCAUUACAUAAUGACUUGUUUUCUUGCAGCUAGUACUAAUGUUGUGAACUGUAGCUGAUAACUAAGAUAAGAUGAUGUUGAUAAGUGUUGAAGGAAAUAUUUUGCUCCAAUUAAGGAGCACUAUGAGAUUUCUGCCUUCGAAAAUAUAGAUGAGCUUCACCAGUCAUUGCUUUGUUUAGUCCCUCGUGAUCCUGUAUAAUGGCCUAUGAGUAUGAAUUUGGAGAUAAGAUGUUGAUGCUUAUGAGAUUUGUGCAUGAUGGGAUGAUUGAAGAAGAUACACCUGAAUCAUGCUGAUCCAAAACCUAGUACCAUGAUGCUGGACUAAGAACAUGCCCAAUCUCGUUUUCUUUCUCGUUCUAUUCGAGUGGUUCUCGUUUUACCAUUUCUUCUUGUCAAUAGAGUUUUUCAUGUAUUUGGAGCACUAGUGAUGAUUAGUGAGACAAAAAGACUGCAGCAUGGACAUGAUCAGCAGAGGUUCUGUUCACAACAGUAUGUGAUUGCUGACUUCUCUCAACAUUUAUUUGCAGCAUUCAACUGUCAUUUGAAUCAAAUGAAGGAAUAAUGAUAUUGAUAUCAUCAAUGAACUGCUGCUAAAUAUAGUUUCACUCAUCCAUUUUUCGUCUCGAAUUCCAUUCUAAAGAGAAAAUACGCAUUGUUUAGCUACACAAUUCUGAUUUCUUUGACAGAUUCAUCUCAGUCGAAAUAGUUUCAUAUACAUUCC